UGUUCCCCUUCCUGUGUCCAUGUGUUCUCAUUGUUCAACACCCACUUAUGAGUGAGAACAUGCGGUGUUUGGUUUUUGUUUGAUUAUACAUUUAAUCAAAGACCAUACAGUCUUGUAUCUGAAUCAGGCAUUUGCACUUUAUAUCUAAAUGAGAAGAAAGGGCUAAAAUAAUUUAUUUGCUGCCAUCUACAGGUAGAUGGACAAUAGCUGAGGAGAAGCGGAGCCAUGAAAAGAACAUCAGGAGUGAUGGAUGCAUAGUCCUUCCCCAAAGCCUCACUCCUCACUGGUAGGCAAAGCAGUGGGUCCUCCUCAUCUGCCGCUUACAGGACCUCUCUAUCAGGAAGACCUACCCCAGCACUUCUGGAAAAUCAGUCAAUCAACCCAGAGACGGCCAUGUUUUCUAAAAUGAGAGAAGUAACCAUCAUGAAUGAGAAGUGGGGCUCCCGAAAGUAAUUUCAUCCUAACCUCAAGAGUUCCAACCGGGAGAAUUUUAUUUAACAAGAGGGAGAAGGAAAAAUGGAAAGAGAAAAGCACAUUCACUGCCAUGAGAAACCUAUUGCCUUCAUCCUGCCAUGGUCUUCCUCAGUUCUGCAGUCACCAGGUUGCAGUAACAGAGCUGUCCAGAGGUGGACUAGCCUAACCACAUGGUCUUGACCGCCCUCGUGGGAAAAGGGCUAGAUGUGGACUAGAAGCUGGGCCUAGUGGAGCAGUCCCACCUGCAAUGCCAGGUAUUCAGGAGGCUGAGGCAGGAAGAUUGCUUGAGUCCAAGACUUCCAGAUCAGCUUGGGCAACACAGACAGACCCUGUCUCUAAAUAAACAAAAUAAAACAGAUCUGGACUACAGAUGAAGCUGCAAGGCAGUGGGCAGAGUCAACCAAAAGGAAAGGAGGAAGGAUUUCAGUUGCUUCCAUCUGAGGCAUUUUCUCCAUCUUCACUAUGGCUGUUUAUGUGCUG